rnacentral:rRNA from 1 species
UGGGGUAUAUUGCACAAUGGGCGCAAGCCUGAUGCAGCCAUGCCGCGUGUAUGAAGAAGGCCUUCGGGUUGUAAAGUACUUUCAGCGGGGAGGAAGGGAGUAAAGUUAAUACCUUUGCUCAUUGACGUUACCCGCAGAAGAAGCACCGGCUAACUCCGUGCCAGCAGCCGCGGUAAUACGGAGGGUGCAAGCGUUAAUCGGAAUUACUGGGCGUAAAGCGCACGCAGGCGGUCUGUCAAGUCGGAUGUGAAAUCCCCGGGCUCAACCUGGGAACUGCAUUCGAAACUGGCAGGCUAGAGUCUUGUAGAGGGGGGUAGAAUUCCAGGUGUAGCGGUGAAAUGCGUAGAGAUCUGGAGGAAUACCGGUGGCGAAGGCGGCCCCCUGGACAAAGACUGACGCUCAGGUGCGAAAGCGUGGGGAGCAAACAGG